UGACAGACUUUCUCCGCCUUGGCUGAUAUUUGUAGUCGGGGUGGUCCUUCUUAUGCUGCACUCUCAAACGCUCAGCUUCUUCCACAAACGGGCGCUUCUCUGCUUCGUUGAGCAAUCUGAAAAUAUCACAGAGAAUUGUACAUUCACAUUAAAACGUAUUCAAUUAACAACAAGCACAAAACAGAGUUGAUUAAUCACUGUAGGAGAUGUGCAAUUAACUGAAUUAUUGCAUUCACUGUUUUAAUAUUAACUAUCAAGAGAAGGCAGCUAAAAUAAAAGUAUGCGCAUCCUAAGUCUAAACCACUUCUAUAACCUACUCGAACAUACAAUUAAGAAAAAUAUCCAAAAUCACAAUAAGAAAACAGUAUUUGAGAGAAAUAUAGUUUGAAAUGCGUUAUUGAAAUUCCCAGACAGAUUGAAGAAGCUCUACGUAAAACAGCAGGCAGGUGGUGCAUUUCAUCGAAGAAAUAGUACGCUGCGCACAGCGGCGCGUAAAAACGCACAAGUGAUUGCGAAUGCAGAGCGAACCUACCUCCAAAGUUUGCCCAGGGUUUUGCUGAGUUCCGCGUUGUGCAAAUGCGGGUACUGAUCGGCCAGCUUCCUCCGUGCGGCUUGAGCCCAGACCAUGAAUGCAUUCAUGGGUCUUUUGACGUGAGGUUUACUUUUACUUGAGCCGUUGACGCGCACCGGCAUGGGCACCAGCGUCCAGUCGUAGCCCUUCAACACCUGGGACACCGCAUCUCUGAUACACACGGGGAACUUCUCUUCUUCGCCCUCUUUCUUGAAGUCUGGACCCAAGAGGAGGUGGUUGUCGGACGGCCGGGUGUUCUCAGUGUCCGAACUGGACCCGGACGGGCACGGUGAGCCUGCGGAGUCCUCAGACAUGCUGGGGCUGGGAGCGUCAGAGUGACACUUCUCCUGUUCUUCUGUCAUCUUGAGAGCGGAGUGAAAGACCUGGUUUGAGCAAAGUCCAUCCAUCUGCUGAGGAAGACUGUGUCAUGUGGUUGAAAAAGCUACGCAGUUGGCAGAGUGGAGCUCGGCCCAUCCACGAGAGCUCCGGCUGGCAGCGCGAGGAGGUCGACUGGGGGAUUUGGAUGAUGAUUGCCUUGAUAUUCGGCUGUAACGUUGGCUUGUCUGGGGACUUUGCAGCUGAACAGAGGUCGUGUUGUCAGUCAUGUGUGACUGCAAACAUUUCCUGCUAACUGAAAACUCUCUGAUUUCUCUACCAAGGCUGUCUCUUUUGAUAUGGUGAAAUGAUUAGCUCUCACAUGAUACAGCACACUCGGUAUUAUGUGUAUUGUCCAUGCAUCGACAUCCCAAUCAGCAGCACAAUUAACCUGACGUGCAGAGCACUGUGCGUCACAAUUUGGUCAAAUCAGUCUGUCCAUCCCCAUGGAUGCUUCAUAAUCAGCAGCACUGUCUGCAGCUGCUUGGUACUGGGUGGCACGGAGGGCCUUAGGUGUCCCACAGGCAGUGCAACACUGCCACCAUGUUGAACAUGUGUACUACAGUGUCACAACAACUCCCCUUUCUUUAGCAUCACAACAUACUUUUUGGCAUUUUUGAAAAGUAAAGAAGUUCUGUUCUGCUGUGAGAUGACGAUAGUUUGCUUAAAGAAGAUGAAAUUAAGGAGUUAGAUGUAAACUUUUCACCCUAAUGCAUAUGAGUCCAGUAUCACUAGAGGUCCAGUAUGUGGCCCUGAGUGGGUCCGAUGUUUAGUGAAGCAGUAAUUGAGAAAAACAGAAGUCUGUAUGGGAGGUUGAAGACUCCGCGUCAAGCAGCCUGUAUUUCAUUUCACCAAUUUCACUUUAACACACGUACACUCCAAUAUUUGCUCCGGCCCUGCCCUUAAAAAACAUAGAAUAACAGAAAAGGCUCAGAUAAAAUCCCAGUGUGCAUUGUAUCUGCCUUGUUUACACUGACGGAUUCCCUUACCACUUGUGUUAAAUGUAGCCCUCCGUGUUAUUCUACCAAGCAAGAAAGAAAACAAUUACUGAAAAUGAGGCAGAGUUGAGAGGAGGCCUGUGUGUAAAAUAACAAAGACGUGCGACUGUUUGGAUCUGAUAAGCCCUGUCGAGUGUUUCCUCUAAUGCCUCUGAAAAUAAACAGCUGGGUCGAUGAGGUGAAUGGAGGCUUGGUUUGGGUCCUAACCGCUGCCGCAGCCCGGGAGCUUGUUUUAGGGGCUGGACCAUGCCAGGAGCAGUAAAGGGCCCCCAUCAGUGGCCCAGACGCCGAGUGAGUUAAACAGGUUAGUGUGUUGGCCGUCUGAACCUGCUGUGACACGCACUCUUUCAGAAAUAGUAUACUGGCAGGACACACACACAUAAAAACACAUGUAAAUGCAGAUCUAUCAAAAACACAGAGGAGCAUCCCCAGAGCUUCCAGCUGUUGACUGAAUAGUUCAUCAACAAGAGGAUUAAGAUGCCUGGCUGUGCUCUCAUGUACAAUCAUGUACCCAUUCACAUCAUGCCCGUAGACAUGUCUGAAAUGUUCUGUCUGUCAAAGCUGACUGACAGAUCUGGUGAUUAAGAUCAUUGACAUUUGAAUAAAGCCAACAAAUAAUUAAUUAUGAUUUUAAUCUGCUCUGUAAACCACUCGUCCUUAUUUCUCUUUUGAGAAAAUAUCAGAAACCAAAAAGUUCAAAUGUAUAUAUUUUAUAUUUUUGUUGUUGUUUCCGGGCCCUUAGUACUGCAAUCAUUUCACAGAAUUGUUUGAUAUUCUCGUCGCAUUCAAUUGAUUUGCUACCCUUUAAAACAUUUGUAAUAUUUUCCUGAUGAAAUAUGUCAAAUCCUGAAAAAGACACAAGUGGACCUUGAGUUUGGGAUGUUUUGCCAAACUAAUAUUUUCAAGGUCAAGAAUGAACUUUCAAGCUUAACUUGUGAGCCAACACAGAAGAGACGUCCUAGAACAGGCGUGGAUCAGCGUGCAUGUGAACACGUCCUUCUCGCAACUGAGCAACUUCAUCUGUUGAUGAAGGGCGUGGCAGAAGGUCCAGUGAAAAGUCCAGUGAAAAGGGCAGUAAGUCGACCAUGAGAUCACAUUGUUUUGUUUCGAUUUUUUGUUGCUCUCUUAAUCUUUUUGUAUUCUUAUGGCUUAAAAGAGCAAUAUACUACAUUCAGCACAUUAAUAUAGCAGCAAACAACUAUUUGCUUUGUAAAGAUAUAGUGGAGUAAUGUCUACCCGAGCAGAGAAUGAAGUCGCUUUUCCUCUGUGUGUGUCGUUAUCCGAGCUUCUUCUCGCUUUGUGCGGAUGCGUGUGCUUUUACUGCAUAUUUAUGCCCCUCUGGCUAGGUCAAGGUUGCAGCUCUGCACCGCUGUCAUAUGGCGGUUACAGCUCAUGACGGCGUCCCGACCACUAGCUUUAUGGUGGAGACAUAUCACUUGCCCUCCGGUUUUCCCUCUGGUAAACACUGUUAGCUCUGUCAGCACGCAGUUUGCGCCGUUAGCGCUAUUUGCCACAAGCCGCCGUCUCGGCUGCCGCCAUGUUGAGAGCCGUAGAGAGUCAAUCAAAAUUCUCCCAUCUUUUUGUAUGCACCUUUAAUCUAAUUUAAAAACAUUCAAUGUAUUUCCUACACAAUAAAACAUCUAAAAAAGGUUUUGAGUCCUUUAAAACCUGUACUACUGCCUCAAUGUGCAAGUAUGUAUUCUGUAUAAAUCCGCCCUCCUAUUUUAUAUUAAUCAAGUUUUUUCAAAACCUUUUUUAUUAUAUAAAUUCAACCAAAAGCUUACCAGUGGCCCAGUGUUUCCUGGUGUUUUUUCAGGUCUUGCCUCAACAUCUGAACUGAUCACCCAGACCAUGUCUCAAAAGUUAGUCCCACUGAAUCCCUCUGAGGUGUGUUUUGUGUUUAAUGUAGUAAAAUUCUGACCUCAUCCUCCUUUCAAAUGUUUCUAAAAUUAGUAUUUCAACAUGUCUGCACACCAGCACACGUCCUCACACCCAGCUGGUGUCUUACACAGGCGGAUAAAAUCACAUCCCUUUAAUCACACUUGAGCUUUGUUUGUUCAGCGCUUAUCAUAAUAUACACAGUUCAAUGGAGCAUUUAGUGGUUUAUUCAGAAUAAUGCAACAAAUGAAAGCAUUUGGUUGUUAAAUCACGAGGCAGCAGUGUUGUGUUUGUUUCUAUCACAUAGCAGAUUAUAGGAUCUUUUUGAGAAGACUAAAUAAAAACACUUCCAUGAUCCAACUUCCUUGACAUUAUCUGCUCAUCAGAGCGAGUGAUGUGAGCAAGACAGAGAGAAUGUGGGAAUUUCACUGGCAAACAGGCAGAGACAAGACCGGACUGCCAGCACACAGGAACAUGAACUCAUUCAUAAAAACCACAGAAAGAAAAACAUGCUUUAUCACCCAAACAUGCAGUAUCUCUCAACCUGUUCUGAUUACUUUUCUCUCUUUAUUCUAAAAGCACCAGCUGCUGAAGUCCUAAAGUACUGCAGAUUUAAAUAAUCAGGAUAAAUCAAAAGGUUAUGCUAUUUUGUAUACAUGCAUGAACUAUUUUGAAUAUACACAGAGCUUCAGCCAUGACAGCACAUCAGAACAAUGAAAUGAGGCCAUUGCAGACGUCUGGAUUGAGGCCAAGGGACAGAAUGUCCCAGAUCUGUCUGUUUAGAGGAAAACACUAUAUACCAGUAAAAGACAUGCACAUAAUUAUGCAUAAUUCCUUUGUCAGUGUGCUGCAAUGAUGUAACAAAAUGUUGUAUAGUCAGUCAAAUGUCGAAGUAUUGCCUUGCUCUGAAAAAAAAAAUGAUGGCAAUAUUACCUCAAAGGAAAAACUUAAAUGUGUUUUGUUUAAUUGCAACGUUUGUAACAUUUGUGAAUCUAACAACUAAAGUAUAAUGUGGAGUACCAGCUGACAGGCGAUAAAUGAUGAUAGUCGGGUCAGUAACACUCUUCAGUGCUUCCAGCAGCAUGAUUUUGAGGAAGUUUGGAGCCUCGGUUUGGCUCUGAUUGCUCGUUUGAGUUCAUGGGCUUAAAUAAAGACACUUAAUCACAAGUGCUCAGUGGAGUUUUUCCCGGACUGUGCAGGACUUUGCCAAGACCUCAGGCAGUCACAUCUCUGGAUUGGAGGAAAAAUAUUCCCCUCAGAUUACUGCAUGACUCACAAAAACAACUGCCUUGGGAGAAAUAUGAUACACAUAUUAUUUAGAUUUUAACAUAUGGCUUUAUGCCAGAUUUGAGUCAAGUACAAGUCACUUGCUACAUGUGUUAAAAGCACAAUCAGGAAAUGUACAACCAUACAAAAUACAGGUAUAUGUAAAUCAAUGCGCAUUUCCUUUCAUUACUGUUGUGUGUAUAUUUGGAGGUGGAAAAGAAAGCAGUUGGUGAGUAUUGUGUAUUCUUUUGAGUCUUCUUAUCAGUCCACACAUGUGUCAUGACAUGUUUUGUCUCGUCAUUGCCCUUUCUCGCAUUACGUUCUUUUAGAUACACCAUAUUUUCCACGUCAGCGGAAAAGCAUAAAAGCUAUUAUGCCAUCAAUUUGACUUUUUCGAACUUCCAAUGUUUUCUUUCAGGUUUGUGUUUGCACAAAUUGAAAAAAUGUGAUUAAAUCAUAUGGACGGAUAUAAAUCGAUGCGAAGUAGCAUGACAUAAAAGUCAACUCGUCAUGUUUAAUUUUGGUAGGAUAGGUGCAAACCAAUUUGCUCAAAACAAACGUUAAAUUAAGAGCCAAAAACAAGGAGCGCAAGGUGACCACACUGAAACUGGCAUAUUUUGUGUUAUGUCAUAGUAUGAUAUGUUACACAUUUACAUUUUAAAACAGCAACACCUAUUUUAUGAACUGAACUGGCAGACCAGCACUCAUCGGGCGGAUUCUCUUUUGAAUAGAAGUCAAUUCAAUCCCACAACAAAUUUCUGGUGGUCCUUUUUUUAUUGUCCCGACACAUUCUACAUAACUGUUUGCAGGGUGGGCACGACUGUCUGCCCACACCUUAUAAAAACGGCUUAACACACCUGGAAAAUAAAAUUCCGCUGAAAAAAACGCCUGUCUUCCAGGGCAACAUAAAGUCCGCCACCUCAACUCAUGACUAAUUGGCUGUUAACACUGUUUUUAACAAACCUGAGCUCUACCGUUAUACACUGAUGUGCAAAUGAACGGGCAGAAUUGGAAGAGACGUCAACAGUGUCGGAAACCAGGAGUCAUUUGUGUGCGACUGUGGAGCAGAGCUGUAUUCAUUUUAUAUUGAGCCUUCUGGACAGUAGGCAAAACAAGAUCUCUCUUAAUUCUUUGUCAUAGAUAGUGAUACAACCUACUCUGUAAACCUGCAUCUGUACAGCAUGUUCAGGUGCAUCCAUUAUUUCACAAUAGAUACUAAAACAACAGCAAACCUGAGGAUAUGAAGAUCUGUUGAAGGUACUCAAAAAUGAGUAGAUAUUACUGAAACUUAAAAUAGUUCCAUACAUCAUCUUAAAGCUUUUUAAUAUAGUAUUACAUUUUGUAUUCGUUUUUUCGUGUGGACAACUGUUCAAAUCUUUCCCUGUCAACAUGUGGGCUAUUGGAUGCACAUGACCAGCUGUAUAUAAUGUCAAAUGUACUGUGUAAUGGCAGCAUGUACUGCUGCUCAGUCUGGAAGAAAACAGGUCUCUCGAGUGCUGCUCGGCACAGUGCUGACGCGUCCACUCCAUUCUAAAUACUGUACGUGCAACAACUCCGCUUAUGGCCUCCACCAACCAACUUCGAUAUGGAGAGUUUAAAAAAAGAAGCGAGGUAAAUCAGAGCUAAAAUAGGUGUGUUUUCCAAGGUUUAUUUUUAGGAGAUCGUGCCGCACAUCGAGUCGUAAAGGUAUUUAUUUAUUUUCUUUGUCGAGAUGUCUUUUUACUUGUGCACGUUGACAGUUAACAAGUUCGGGGAAGUGAAGACUAAGUAUUCAUUGAAAGGGAAUUCACCCUCUACAGGAAGCUGGCCAACAGACGAGCUUCUUAUUUUUCACAAAGGCAUCUAACAAAGUGGUCCAACCGGUGGCUGUCAGUUGUUUCACCCAGUCUAAUAUUACAAGGUAAUUACAGGGCAAGACAUUUUUUGCAUUUAAUAUAUUGCUUAAUUAUCGAACUAUACUAUACAAUAUAUCACACAACCCUCGGUAUAAUGGCCCAAAAGCUCCAAUGACAAGAUUAAACAUAAUACAUAAUCAUGUAAUACAUCUGAAUCAGCUGGCUACUGUAUCGCGAUUACUACCAUGAAGUUUUUUGGGAUACUGUUGCACAGUGUGUUGAGCAGGCAGGUUUUCUCUUCUUCUCUUACCCCCCUAUGGGUCAGUGGGAGUGUAAAUGUCACUCUGAAUUGAUGAACUGCCGUCUGAGCUGACUUGUCCAAUAAAGAUUAUCAGUUUCAGACUAAAGGCUAAAUGAUCCAUGUGUUUUGAUCUGAAGCGUUAAUACAAAUGUCUUUCAUUUCGUGUUGGUGAAUAGUUUCAAAAGCCAAUUUCAGUUAUUGUUAUUAACGUUAAAUAAACUUGUAUGUUGAGGAAUUAAGCAAUUUUAACACCUGGUAACAAUGUUAACUUUUACCAUGAAAAAGGUGAAAGCAGUUAGUUAAAGCUGGUUGAGACAAAGGUCCUUUUAAGAUACAAAGUGCAGGUGACCAACUUGUAUUCAAGUCAUGUGGCUGGCUGUCAGGCUACAACCUGAUUGUUAACACCCCACAGCGAGACCUGUUGCCCUGGGCUAUUAGUCAUCCUGACAAGCAUGGCGUAUGUGCCACUCUCUCUGCUCAUGACACACUUGUUUCCACCAUCUCCCCACCUUCUCACACUACUCCAGCUCUGAUAUAUUCCUAACGCAUAGUGGCAAGAGUGACACAACGCCACUGAACCAAAACAAGCACCUAUCAAUUACUGAUGAAAGAGGCCUUUUACCUAUUUUUUUUACAUCAUGUUCGGAGUAGGGCGUGGAUGAGACGCGAAGCUAUGUCAGAGCGGAGGAAGAAAUAACUUUGACGAACUAAGACGGCAAACCUGCAACGUUUAGCAAUGUUAUAUCAAACAAUGAUUUAAUUAAAUGACCUGUGCUUGAAAAUUAAGAAAAAUAUGAUUUCCAACACAAAAAAGGGUUUUAUGAAUAGUUAUGAUAAAAAUAGAAGUAAGCAAUAGUGCGGUGAAAUUGCAAAAUAGAAAUUAAAUGUGUUGGGUACUAAUUUACACAAAAAACAGAUGAUUAAUAUUGUGCUACUACUUUUAAUCCUCUUUGAGUCUCAUAAUGCAAUUUAUGGAAACAUAGGAACACAUGCGAUUUGUUUCCCUACUUUUUUGCUUUUAAAAUAAACACAUUAUUACUUUCUGGAUUACAGAUAGUAAAACUCUCUGGGAUACGUUUUUAAAUGAAGUAAUAGUUCCGCUUUAUCUUGUCUCAGCUAUGUUCCCUGACCUGUCUACACAAAGGGACACUUUUGAGCAUGUGGAUUCAUCUUUAACUUUGUGAGAGGAGGAGAUGUCGCUAUUAAAAUUAAAUCAAUCUGAUUUAUGCUGCCAUCGAUACACGUCAUUUGCAGAUCCUAAGUCUUAAAACAGCCUCAGGACUAUUGUUUUUUGUUCUUUGCAUGUCACGCUUAAAAGUUGACCUCUGAAAGGCCACCAUAUUAAAGUAAUAGCUAUAUGCAGUUUUGUCCGCCGUGUUAUCGAAAUAAGGUAUUAUAACGAUAUUAAUGUGUCCAUUCAUGCGCACAGUGAUGCACUAAUGUUGACUUAUUUUGAGGUAUAAUCCGUGUUUUUGUUCGGCAUUGGUUUGUGACUUCUGUCUGAGUUGACAUGCAAAGUUUAGCCAGCUGUAAGAAAUAUAAGAAGUGAUUUAAUAUAAGACCAGGCAGGGAUUCAGUACGCUGUUAAAGUCAUUAAGAGCUUUCUCUUCUCUUUCAUCAUGUCCAGGUUGGAGGCCUCCCUUCGGGCUGCUGCGAAGAGGAGACGUGAUCAGCGGAUCAAAUUUGGGGCCAUAGAUAAUGUAUGUGGUUAAUUUACAGCUUGGAGGUUUCUUAAUCUUGUCCUUCGCUGGUCCCGAGGUGACAAGCAAAGCUGUAUUCAGAAACUCUGAGGUGUAAUCAGCAAUCAGAAAUAGGAAGCCGGACGUCAGGCUUUUAUAAAUGGUUUCCUCAGAGGAGUUUGAUUUACUGUCCCGAGCACAGUUGAACUUACAGUGUGUGCGUUGAAGCGAUGAAGGGGAGGGAUAAUAGAUGCUUGAAGAUCUGGGUGAGCACAGAACUGCAAAUUGCCUUUGAAAGAACAAUAUCCCCAAAAUCAACUUAAAUGCUUUUUUAUGUCUGAGGAAUUGAUUUAUGCUGGGCUUAGUCCGUAUAUAAACCAUCACAUGCACUGGAGGUCUUGCCCUUUGACCUUACUAUUCCUAAAGGGGGAAAACAUCUGUAAAGACUGCAAUGGGUAUGGGGUGACAUGACGUUUGUGAGCUGAGGUUCUUGUUGAAACAUAUAAAGCCCAUUUUAUUUUAUAUUUAUUUAAACCAGGACAGCUGCUCUCUCUUUUUUUCAUGAUUUUGAAAUAUAGUGUUCCUAUUUCAGUACCAAGCUUUCAUAUGUAAGUGUAAUAUUGUCAUUAUAUAGUUUUUAAUUACUGUUAGGAGGAAAUAAAGAAAGACUGAAAAUGUGGUAAUUACUGAAGCUUGUGGAGGACCAAAAUUUGGGGAAAUGUUUUUCAUAAGAGUGAUUCAAUUAUUUACCUGGUUGUUAAAUUUGCAGUCAUUAUUUUACAGUUGAUUGAUUUAGAGUGACUGAUUAUUUGAAAUGGUAUGCGCAUAGUAAGACACCACAUGCUAGAAGUAAUUUGUACAAGUAAUUAUCUCUUUAACACAUCCAGCCAUGUCUUUUUUUCAUGAGGAAGCUGUUACCAGUCACGGGGUCAAAUAAUGUCCUCAUUAAAAAUGUUGAUCUUUGCAACUUAACUGCAAAAACAAAUCUCAGUAAAUCCAGAAACACAUUUGCAGAUAACUUAUUGGUCUGCGGAUGUUACGGCGUACGCACUCUUAUCCCCACAUCCUCCCUUAGGGACCUACACCAAAGUGGAAAAGGGGCACAUCACUCAUAUUUAUGGAAAUUUAUCUGGGAGAGCUCUCCCAUGGCGCUCGGCUUCUCAGCGGGUGCCAUGCAAACGCAGACGAUGAUCUCUCCAGCAGCUGCCUGACCAGGACAGACCUGUGAUUCCCAUCAAAAGGCCACCGUAAGGUUUCCAAAACAAAACACUGCAAACAUAGUUUGAUCACUCCGUUUGGAAUUAGUGUUGAUGAAGUGUGGCUUAAUUAGGGGAAAUGUUGAUUAGUUCUUCCUCUGCAGCAGCAGCUAUAGGUCCUCAGAGGUUGAAAGAGGGGCCACGGAUUUGAAUGUUCUCAGACCCCAGCCCUCAUUUGACCUCAGGAUUCAUCUUGAUGAGCAGGAUUUGAAAAAGGAGAUAUUGAUACAUCCAAGUGCAUUACACAUUUUGGUUGAAUGUUGCAAAAAAGCUGAUUUUCUAUCUAUGAAAAAUAAGUUUGAGAACAAUGGUAAUUCCAAUCAGUGCACACAAGCCUCUGACCUCUCAACUUGCUUGAUUUGAAAUGCAUUCUCAUUUAUUAGAAAUGAGUAGAAAAUGUGUUUUUGAGGUCAUAAUUGCUUUCUACUAAUUGGUGAUGCGUUUAAGUGUUUCCAUUUGCUGUAAAACAUCAAUUCUGAACCACAAGCUUUUACAUUUACUCGUCACUUUCUGCUUUCCUCUUUUUGAUUUCAUUUAAUUCUUACUUUCAUGGCUAAACCAAAGUUGUCUUGACAUCUUUUUAAGGAUUGAACAGAUAAACCAAUGAUAAGUUGUUGACUUCACAGUUUUCAGGCUGUGACCCGGACUUAGAACCUGUACACGGUUAUAAAAUGUAUUUACGUCUGUCAAUACUAGAUCAGGUUUCCUUUAGCUGGCAGCUUGUCAUCCGCCAAGACAAAGGUGACUGAUGUCGUUAUGUUUUAAGUAAUUAAAGCGUGAUUGACGGCUGAGUUUGUCUGCUGGGCUUCACUUCAAAGUCAACAGAAACUAGACUGAGACUUUGUCUGCUGUAACUCCAGAGAGUGACAUAACAAUUUACAAAAGACCACAAAGUGUUAACGUAAACUCAAAUACAACACAUUCACACAAUAUGUGGUGAUUGUAGUUGGGAUCACAUUAAUAUAAGAAGCUGCUAUAUAAAUAAAUAGUUAAGUUACCCUUUUAGUUUAAAGGUAUUCAGAGCGUUAAUUUAGCAGCAAACUAAAUCAACACAUUCUUUUCUUUUCAACUAUUGGACGUGGCGUGUCAGUAUACCGUACGCUGUCCUGUGAUUGUUUGACCUCCCACCUCGCCUCCCACCUGCCUUUAUUCUAAGUCAGUUGCUCUGAGGUUGUAAUAAGGACGGGGUU